rnacentral:rRNA from 1 species
AACGAACGCUGGUGGCGUGCUUAACACAUGCAAGUCGAACGAGAAAGUUUCCUUCGGGAAAUUAGUAAAGUGGCGCAAGGGUGAGUAUCACGUGAAUAAUCUGCCCUCGAGAUCGGGAUAACAUGGCGAAAACUAUGCUAAUACCGUAUAAGACCACAUUUCAUAAGAAAUGCGGUAAAAGGAGUCUCAAUCUUCACUUGAGGAUGAGUUCGCGCAACAUUAGCUUGUUGGUGGGAUAAAAGCUCACCAAGGCUACGAUGUUUAGCCGGCCUGAGAGGGUGAACGGCCACACUGGAACUGAGACACGGUCCAGACUUCUACGGAAGGCAGCAGUAAGGAAUAUUGGGCAAUGGGCGAAAGCCUGACCCAGCCAUGCCGCGUGCAGGAUG